rnacentral:rRNA from 1 species
AGAGUUUGAUCAUGGCUCAGGAUUAACGCUAGCGGCAGGCCUAAUACAUGCAAGUUGAACGGGAUUUCGGGUAGCAAUAUCUGGAUGAGAGUAGCGCACGGGUGCGUAACACGUAUGCAACCUACCUAUGACUGGGGGAUAGCCUUCCGAAAGGAAGAUUAAUACCGCAUAAUGAUUUGAAGGGGCAUCUCUUUAAGUCCAAACCUCCGGGGGUCAUAGAUGGGCAUGCGUUCGAUUAGCUAGUUGGUGAGGUAACGGCUCACCAAGGCUACGAUCGAUAGGGGGUCUGAGAGGAUGAUCCCCCACACUGGUACUGAGACACGGACCAGACUCCUACGGGAGGCAGCAGUAAGGAAUAUUGGACAAUGGGCGCAAGCCUGAUCCAGCCAUGCCGCGUGAAGGAUGAAGGCCCUAUGGGUUGUAAACUUCUUUUAGCAGGGAAAAAACCCCCCGAUGCGUUGGGGGCUGAUGGUACCUGCAGAAUAAGCAUCGGCUAACUCCGUGCCAGCAGCCGCGGUA